GAUUGCUGAGUGCAUGUAGAAUUGUAGAGGUCUGAUCGCGACAGAAUCAUAGUCUGUCUGAUUUGGUCCAAUUGGAUAACUCUGUAAGUCAGCGAGUUAAUUGUUAGAAGAGUGGUGGAAUCGUCAGCACAAGUAAGUUGGAAGCCAGGCAAGCCACAGGAUGGCGGACGUGGGCCGCCGGAGAAAGGGUAGUAGACGUCUGUGAUAUUCCCACAAGAGAAGGUCUGGUUGCAGCCGGAGAGAGUGUCAUUGGAGGGAAACGACGCCAUAAAGUCGACGAAGAAAAUGAAAAUGGUGAUGGUGAAGGUGAGGGAGGUGAGCGGCUGCAUUGGUGGAGGGGAAGAAGAAGGAGAGUUGUGUGUGAAAAGGCAUAGAAAAAUAAUGAUGGGGUGAUAGAGAGACGGAGUGGUUAGAGCAUAGACGGUAAUGGCUGCCUUCGGUUGACUUGGACCCAAAGUGAUGUGUUUUAAGGUUCUCUUACACGGAGGCUCGUGGUUAGAAAUUGACGAAUCCAUGCAACAACCUGCAAAUGGCGGCUCGGGUCCAAGUGUUUUUAUAUUUUUCUCCAUUAAUCUUUUGUCUGCUUAUUUGGGUUUGGAUAAUUAAAUAAUUGAUGAGGAUGGUUGAAAUCAAAAGCAAGAAAUAUAUAUAUAAAUAUAUUUAAUAUAGUAGUGGUUGGAAUACACAUAUGUCAAGCGCAAUGGUUGUUGAAAUUUCUGGUGUGUUUGGAUGCCCAAAAUUGAACAACCUUUCCACAGCCACCAUAUAACCUUAUGAAUAAAUAAAAUAAUAUAAACAGCCAAUUAUUAACUAAAUAAAUAAUUGGCAUCUUUAACAGAGCUGAUGUAAAAAAUUUUUG
rnacentral:misc_RNA from 1 species